rnacentral:rRNA from 1 species
AUUGAACGCUGGCGGCAGGCCUAACACAUGCAAGUCGAGCGAGCGGCGGACGGGUGAGUAAUGUCUGGGAAACUGCCCGAUGGAGGGGGAUAACUCCUGGAAACGGUAGCUAAUACCCCAUACCCUCGUCUGUGCCCAGAUGGGUUUAGCUAGUAGGUGUGGUAACGGCUCACCUAGGCGACGAUCCCUAGCUGGGCUGAGAGGAGGACCAGCGACACUGGAACUGAGACACGGUCCAGACUCCUACGGGAGGCAGCAGUGGGGAAUAUUGCACAAUGGGCGCAAGCCUGAUGCAGCCAUGCCGCGUGUAUGAAGAAGGCCUUCGGGUUGUAAAGUACUUUCAGCGGGGAGGCGUUACCCGCAGAAGAAGCACCGGCUAACUCCGUGCCAGCCGCCGCGGUAAUUC